UAUCAAGGAAUGAAUGUGUCUGUAAUCUACAAUUCACAACAAUAGUGGAGCUUGCCUUUAACUGAAUAAUUAUUUGUCAUAUUUAGGACAAGUGGUUGUGGCAGCUGUCUUCUCUGAACAGCAGUCUGGUGAACACCGUACUGUUUCGGCCUCAGUACACUGAAGAUCUAAGAAAACACUUCACACCCUACAACCCCUAAAAAUAACCCAGAUUUGACAGCAGUGCACACCCAUCUGAGGCUGACCUGUUUUACUUCAUGAUCACCCCACAUACUUCUACAACUAACCCGCUUUGUAAGUUCUCAUAGCUACACCUUAAAGAAGCACAUCAUUUUGGGGAAAUUUCCUGUGUAUUUGCUGGUAAAUUACUUUUAUAAAGAUUAAUGUUGAUUAUAUACCUAGUUCAACAAAAAAUGAAAAUGAUGCCGCUUAAUCUCCCUUCUGUCAUUCCAUCCCAUAAAAAAGUGUGCAUCUUCAAUGAAGAUAUUAACCCCAAAACUCUGACACCCAAGAAACCAUCAAAUAAAUCCGUAUGAAUGGAGCCGUGUAAUCUACUUUUGGGCCAAACUGUUCAAUGAAUG